rnacentral:rRNA from 1 species
CAUUGGGUUUAAAGGGUGCGCAGGCGGAUUGGUAAGUCAGGGGUGAAAUCCCACAGCUCAACUGUGGAACUGCCUUUGAUACUGUCAGUCUAGAGUAUAGUUGAAGUUGGCGGAAUGUGUCAUGUAGCGGUGAAAUGCUUAGAUAUGACACAGAACACCGAUCGCGAAGGCAGCUAGCUAAGCUAUAACUGACGCUCAUGCACGAAAGCGUGGGGAUCAAACAGGAUUAGAUACCCUGGUAGUCCACGCUGUAAACGAUGAUUACUCGAUGUUGGCGAUACACAGUCAGCGUCUGAGCGAAAGCAAUAAGUAAUCCACCUGGGGAGUACGAUCGCAAGAUUGAAACUCAAAGGAAUUGACGGGGGCCCGCACAAGCGGAGGAGCAUGUGGUUUAAUUCGAUGAUACGCGAGGAACCUUACCUGGGCUCGAACGUAAGAUGACUGUAGGUGAAAGCUUACAUCUCUUCGGAGCAUUUUACGAGGUGCUGCAUGGUUGUCGUCAGCUCGUGCCGUGAGGUGUCGGGUUAAGUCCCAUAACGAGCGCAACCCCUACCUUUAGUUGCCAUCAGGUCAUGCUGGGGACUCUAAAGGAACUGCCUACGCAAGUAGUGAGGAAGGCGGGGAUGACGUCAAAUCAGCACGGCCCUUACGUCCAGGGCUACACACGUGCUACAAUGGCCGAUACAGAGGGCAGCUACCUGGUGACAGGAUGCAAAUCUCCAAAGUCGGUCUCAGUUCGGAUCGGAGUCUGCAACCCGACUCCGUGAAGUUGGAUUCGCUAGUAAUCGCGCAUCAGCCAUGGCGCGGUGAAUACGUUCCCGGGCCUUGUACACACCGCCCGUCAAGCCAUGGAAGCUGGGGGGACCUAAAGUCGAUAACCGCAAGGAGUCGCCUAGGGUAAAACCAGUGACUGGGGCUAAGUCGUAACAAGGUAGCCGAAUC